UGCUUUCUCUAAAUCUAAAUAGAUGGUAUAUAAGGAACAUGUUAGUCUUCAAUCUAACAAGAAAUAAAAUAUUAAGUGAAAUCUUACACAAUGGCCCUUAACAUCAAUCGAGCAUAUAUUUGUUGGAUGUUGAUCCUUUCUUUGGUUUUGGUUUCAGUUGCAGAACUAGCAUAUGGUCAGGAUUUUAUGGGAGUAAAAUGUGAUAGAUGCAUAACUUCUCUGCAAUGCGAUGAAGAUUGCAUCAACAGUGGCUAUUCAAGAAGUACCUGCGCUAAUACUGUUUGUUGUUGUUUUUACUGAUGAGUUAUUGUACCUUCAGUAAAUUGAAAUACCUAAAGUAUGUUUAGAAUUCAAAGUUCGUACGAAUAUAUAUUUCAAAUUAAUAAAACUAAAUUCAUUUCGAUUA